ACCCAGAUACAAUUUCUGGUGAUUCCUAAAGUCAAAGUUUCCUUUGCCUACUCUUGGGUAAUUAAGUGGUUGUUGCCCCAAAACAAUAAAUAGUAUUUCUACCUCUGUUUCCUGGUUCACUCUUCUGACCAGUAUAUUGGAAUAAUGGACUUAGUAAUAAAGACACAAAUCCUGAAGAUUUAAAUUGCAGAUCCAGAGCUUUCUAAUUCCAUUUAAUGUGAUAACCUCAGGCAUUUGGGUCAACAGAACCUGGCAAGAGCACUCCAGGUUCUAGGUUCUAGAUCCAGAUUUCCUUGUGAAGAGACAAUCUAAUCAGUUCUGCACGCAGCAUUAUUCACAAAAGUCAAAAUGUGGAAACAACCUAAAUGUCCAUCAACAGAGGAGUAGAUUUUUAAAGUGUUAUAAACACAGAAUGAAAUAUUAUUCACCUUAACAAAGAAGGAAAUUCUGCCAUAUAUAGCAACAUAGAUGAGCCUUAAGAACAUUACGCUAAGUGAAGUAAGCCAGCCACAAAAACACUAAUAGUACAUUUGUGUACUUUUAGGAAGUAUCUAAAUUAGUCAAACUCAUACAAGCAGGAAGUAUAAUAGUGGUUGCCAAGGGCUGAGGGGAGGAAGAAAUAAGGAGUUGCUGUUCAACGGCAUAAGAUUUCAGUUACUCAAGAUUAAUAAAUUCCAGAGAUAUGUUGUAUAACAUUAUGUCAAUAGUUAGCAAUACUGCAUUAUACACUUUAAAAAUGUUGUCAAGAGAGUGGAUCUCAUGUUAAGUCUUCUUACCACAAUAAAAAAAAAUUAACUCCAAUAUGUCAUAAGCCUAAAUGUUAGCACUAACUAAAGCAAUAACACUCUUAAAAGAAUACAUAAGAGUAAAUCUUCGGGCCUGUAAUCCCAGCACUUUGGGAGGCUGUGGUGGGCGGAUCACAAGGUCAGGAGUUUGAGACCAGCCUGGCCAAUAUGGUGAAGGCCCGUCUCUAUUAAAAAUACAAAAAAUUAGCGGGGCAUGGUGGCAGGCGCCUGUAGUCCCAGCUACUCGAGAGGCUGGAGUAGGAGGAUCACUUGAACCCUGGAGGCCGAGGUUGCAGUGAGCCAAGAUCGUGCCACCACACUUCAGCCUGGGUGACAGAGUGAGACUCCAUCUCAAAAAAAAAGAGUAAAUCUUCAUGACCAGGGGUUAGGCAAGGCUUUCUUAGAUACAACACCAAAAGCACAAUUGAAAAAAGAAGAAAAAGAUAAACUUGGCUUCAUCAAAAUCAAAGACUUUUCUGCUCCAAAAGGCAUUAUUUGAAAAAUAAAAAUAAAAAUACACCUUCAGAAUGGGAGGAAAUAUUUGCAAAUAAUAUAUCUGAUAAGAUACUUUUAUCUAGAACAUAUAAAAGAAACACAACUCAAUAAUGAAAACAUAAAUAACCCAAUUUAAAAAUGGGCAAAAUAUCUAAAUAGACAUUUCUCCAAAGAAGAUAUACAAAUGACAAAUAAUCACAUGAAAAUAUAAAUGCAAGUCAAAACCACAGUAAGACAGCACUUUACACGCACUAGGGUGGCUAUAACCCAAAUGAUGGAAAGGGAAAGUGUUGAGGAAAGUGUGAAGAAUUUGGAACCCAGAUGGUGGCAGUGUAAAAUGGUGCAACCACUUAGGAAAAUAAUCUGACAGUUACUCAAAAUGUCAAACACAGAGUUACCAUUUGACCCAAUAA
rnacentral:lncRNA from 10 species